rnacentral:rRNA from 1 species
GCCUAACACAUGCAAGUCGAACGAACCUUCGGGUUAGUGGCGGACGGGUGAGUAACGCGUGAGAAUCUGCCCUCAGGAGGGGGAUAACGGCUGGAAACGGCCGUUAAUACCCCAUAUGCCGCGAGGUGAAAUGAAUUUCGCCUGAGGAUGAGCUCGCGUCUGAUUAGCUAGUUGGUGGGGUAAAGGCCUACCAAGGCAUCGAUCAGUAGCUGGUCUGAGAGGAUGAUCAGCCACACUGGGACUGAGACACGGCCCAGACUCCUACGGGAGGCAGCAGUGGGGAAUUUUCCGCAAUGGGCGAAAGCCUGACGGAGCAACGCCGCGUGAGGGAUGAAGGCCUCUGGGCUGUAAACCUCUUUUAUCAAGGAAGAAGAUCUGACGGUACUUGAUGAAUAAGCCACGGCUAAUUCCGUGCCAGCCGCCGCGGUAAUA